UAACCUACCUCAAAGUCUGGGAUAACCAUUGGAAACAGUGACUAAUACCGGAUAAAACCCAGGUGCACAUGCACCAAGGUUAAAAGCUGCGUUUGCAGCGCUUUAAGAUGGAUUCGCGGUGCAUUAGUUAGUUGGUGAGGUAAAGGCUCACCAAGACGAUGAUGCAUAGCCGAGUUGAGAGACUGACCGGCCACAUUGGGACUGAGACACGGCCCAAACUCCUACGGGAGGCUGCAGUAGGGAAUCUUCCACAAUGGGCGCAAGCCUGAUGGAGCAACGCCGCGUGUGUGAUGAAGGCUUUCGGGUCGUAAAGCACUGUUGUAUGGGAAGAACGGGUUUAAGAGGAAAUGCUUAAGCAGUGACGGUACCAUACCAGAAAGGGACGGCUAAAUACGUGCCAGCAGCCGCGGUAAUACGUAUGUCCCGAGCGUUAUCCGGAUUUAUUGGGCGUAAAGCGAGCGCAGACGGUUCGAUAAGUCUGAAGUGAAAGCCCACAGCUCAACUGUGGAAUGGCUUUGGAAACUGUCGAACUUGAGUGCAGUAGAGGUAAGUGGAACUCCAUGUGUAGCGGUGGAAUGCGUAGAUAUAUGGAAGAACACCAGUGGCGAAGGCGGCUUACUGGACUGCAACUGACGUUGAGGCUCGAAAGUGUGGGUAGCAAACAGGAUUAGAUACCCUGGUAGUCCACACCGUAAACGAUGGAUACUAGUUGUUAGAGGGUUUCCGCCCUUUAGUGACGAAGCAAACGCAUUAAGUAUCCCGCCUGGGGAGUACGACCGCAAGGUUGAAACUCAAA
rnacentral:rRNA from 1 species